rnacentral:rRNA from 1 species
UACGGGGGGAGCAAGCGUUGUUCGGAUUUACUGGGCGUCAAGUGCGCGUAGGCGGUCGUGACAAGUUACUUGUGAAAUCUCCGGGCUUAACUCGGAACGGUCAAGUGAUACUGUCGGACUAGAGUACAGAAGGGGCAACUGGAAUUCUCGGUGUAGCGGUGAAAUGCGUAGAUAUCGAGAGGAACACCUGCGGCGAAGGCGGGUUGCUGGGCUGAUACUGACGCUGAGGCGCGAAAGCCAGGGGAGCGAACGGG